ACAAAUGGUACGGAUAAUAGUAACUAGUUAGACUUGGACUUCUGCUAUAAAGUCACAGGGAGUAAUAUGUCUAAGUUCUAAGAGUCCUACUUUAUACCAGAACACAGAACAGACCACCGACACACUUCCCAGUGUCGCUCCAGGUCUCCCAAACAGUUUCCUAGUAUCACACAAGGACAGUACUCAGCACCAGACUGUUCAGACUCCCAUGACUUCUAGCCGGCAUCCCAACAGUCCUUCUUGUUUACAUUCACUAGUGCGCUGGUGCGCACCUCAAGCACCGAUGCAAGGCUGGGUUACAACAAUAUAUAUAUAUAUUACACCCAGUCCCUUUUUGACGUAUUUUGUACCUUACUGGAGCUAAAGGAACGAUAUUAGACACCCCUCCAUGAGAGCUGUUAGCUCCCCCAUCGCGCCAAACAUUAUUUCCUGUAUUUAAAACUUUCAAAAAGACAUUUGGAGUGCUACAGUGCUAUACCCUGCUAUUUUCUAUUAAAAAAUUGUAUGUCAAAUAUCAAGUUUGAUAUUCACUACACUAAGUACACUUAAUUAUUAAAGGAGUCCAGUGAACAGUGACAGGUAGAAAAACAAAAUCAAUGUUUGAAAUAUAUAUUAUUUAGGCCAUUUUGGGGUAUAAUUGAACCUCAAAUGGCUGCUUUACCUUUCAUUUUAAGCAUGUGGCUUGGAUUCUCGUAGAUUUAUUGUAUUAAUGGCUGCGCUCAUGGCCACUGUACUUUGUUUAAUACUUUUAUUGAAGUUUUUUUUUUAACCUUACUCACCCGCCUCCUCCUUUUUUAUUUGACAAUCCUAGGUAAAGCGAUGCUUUAACACUCAAGAAAAAAAUUAAACCAAAACAAUUUACAAAAUUUCAACCCCGGCUACGCCCAUAGUUCAAUGUAAACUUGUCCAAAUGAAAUGGUUGAAGACAGUUGAAGUAGGGACAAAGGAGUUGGUGAGUAGCAAAUCCCUCAUUCAUGACCUCUGGAAUGUGCUGCGUCCAUUGGAUAUCGUGCUUCAUAGUUAUAUGUAAGGUGGUCUACCACGUUGAUGGGGUGGCUAUUCACGGUGUGGUCUAGAAUAAUCUAGAAUUAGAUCUGAUAACAUUUUCAUUGUCAAAAUUUGGGUAAUUUCCAAAAUGUGCAUACACUAUAGAUAAAUGUAUGCCUUAAAACAUGGGCGUAGCCAGGAUUUUUCUUUCGGGGAGAGGGGAAAUCCCCCCCCGGAGAAUAAAAAUAUGUAUGUAUGUAUGCAUAUGUGUUUGUGUGUGUGUGUGUUUACAUAACUAAUCUUUAUUAUACUCUGACCCUUCAUUCUUUCGGAAGACGUUUAUUGUGCCCUAGAAUAGGUUCUUCCUGAAGUUAGUGGAAAAAUUGUAGACUCCCCGCCCUUGCCAGCAAGUGGGUCUGGAGGAGCGCUGGGAGCUCCCCCAGCGCGGGGCCGAGCCCCGCCGCCAAGCCCUAUUUCUGGUAUCUAAAGCCAACGAAAUGCAUAUUCUGAGGUAUCUACAGUGCAUUAUCCUGCUAUUAAAAAGUUUUAUUUCAAAAAGCCUAUCUGUUAUUCUUAAUAUGUGAGCUGGCACUCCUAGAUCUAAUUUUUUAUCUAUUUAUAUCUGUAUUUUAAUUGGUAAAACUAUCUAGGCUAGUGCUGAGUGCAUGCAUGGUUCCCGCCAGCUCUUUAAUGUUAGAGUUAGUUUAGGUGAGUCAUGACCUGGCUCUAUAAAUAGAAAAGGUGCGGUCAGUUCUUUCUUUUUCCGGUGUUGACCGUUGGUCUGUGUGACCAUGUAGGGAGUUAAUAGUUAUUUAAUUGUAGUGUGAAUUUCAGCUGGGACCGCCUGUAAGUUGGAAAAUGUUUUUAUUUUUAUUUCUUUAGUUUGUAUUUGUAUUAGUUAUUCCUACAUCUACUGUUAUAGUCUAGAUGUAGACUGAUUAGUGUAGUGGCAUCACUGGCUAGUUAAUUAGCCAUGAUUACCUCUGAUGGAACCGGAAGUUCCGUAGACUUGGGUAGCGUCACCCCUUUUAGCCAGCCUUAAUGAUCCCCUUAUUGUUUUUCUAUUGUUUGUCCAUGUGUAAAUAUUUUAUGUUCUCUAAGUAUUUUUAUUACUACAAUAUUGUUGGGAUAAUGGCUUUAGCAAGUUGGCAUGUUGCCGAUUUUAAUUUUUAAUGUAGAAGAUGGCUGCGUCCUACUCAACGCUCCAUGAUGGCGGCUUUGUUAAGCCAAAUCUAGAUUUGUUAUUGUUGUCUAGCCCAACUGGUGUUGUGGCAUAGACAUUAACUUUUACUCAUGUAUUGCUUUCAUUAGGCUAUAAUUCCUGUCGUUACGUCUACUGCCUAACUGUGCGGUAGUACUGUCAUUUUUACUGCCUGCCUGCUUGUCUGCCAACUGUUUGCCGCCAGUUAUUACUGUCGUUAUUUAUAGCUGCCUGUCUGCCAACUGUUUGCCGCAGUUAUUAUUGCCAACUGUUUGCUGUCGUUAUUUCCACUGCCUAGCUGCCUUUAUUAGUAUAUUACUGCCACAGUUAAGCUGUCUGCUGUACUGUUGUGUUUAGUGUUGGUAUUUUUAGGUGUAAUCUAGUAAAGAUAGUUAGACUUUUGGGUUUCUUAUUAGUGUUGGUAGUGGUAUAGUCAGGUUGAUUAGUUGUUUAUUUCUAAGUUUAUUUAGUUGUUUCUGUAAGGUUUAUUUUUUUUUCGUAUUCAUCUAUAUUUUUAUUGCUUUGUAAGUUUGUUGUAAAUAAAGUGUAUAUAAGUUUUGUUUUAUAAA